GACUUCUUCAGAAUAAUGAAUUUUAUCAAAUUAUCAUGCACUUAAUAUAUUUCCUUAACUUUAAAACACUUUCAAACUCUUAAAUGGUGCACAUGAUGUUACUAAUUCAUUUAGUAUGCCUGUAAUGUGUUGCAUUCCGAAAUUGAUAUAUUUGACCUAGAUACGACAACCGUUCAUGCUGGCUGUUGAAACUCUUCCCUCUGAAAAAUCACAGUGCCGGCCGUUUGCUUUUU
rnacentral:lncRNA from 1 species